rnacentral:rRNA from 1 species
GAUGAACGCUGGCGGCGUGCCUAAUACAUGCAAGUCGAGCGAACGGACGAGAAGCUUGCUUCUCUGAUGUUAGCGGCGGACGGGUGAGUAACACGUGGAUAACCUACCUAUAAGACUGGGAUAACUUCGGGAAACCGGAGCUAAUACCGGAUAAUAUUAUGAACCGCAUGGUUCAAAAGUGAAAGACGGUCUUGCUGUCACUUAUAGAUGGAUCCGCUCUGCAUUAGCUAGUUGGUAAGGUAACGGCUUACCAAGGCAACGAUGCAUAGCCGACCUGAGAGGGUGAUCGGCCACACUGGAACUGAGACACGGUCCAGACUCCUACGGGAGGCAGCAGUAGGGAAUCUUCCGCAAUGGGCGAAAGCCUGACGGAGCAACGCCGCGUGAGUGAUGAAGGUCUUCGGAUCGUAAAACUCUGUUAUUAGGGAAGAACAUAUGUGUAAGUAACUGUGCACAUCUUGACGGUACCUAAUCAGAAAGCCACGGCUAACUACAUG